rnacentral:rRNA from 1 species
AAUGGGGGAAACCCUGAUGCAGCAACGCCGCGUGAGCGACGAAGGCCUUCGGGUUGUAAAGCUCUGUCUUCACUGACGAAGAAAGUGACGGUAAGUGAGGAGGAAGCCACGGCUAACUACGUGCCAGCAGCCGCGGUAAUACGUAGGUGGCAAGCGUUGUCCGGAAUUAUUGGGCGUAAAGGGUGCGUAGGCGGUUUUUUAAGUGGGAUGUGAAAUACCUGGGCUUAACUCAGGGAUUGCAUUUCAAACUGGAAGACUAGAGUGCAGGAGAGGAAAGUGGAAUUCCCAGUGUAGCGGUGAAAUGCGUAGAGAUUGGGAGGAACACCAGUGGCGAAGGCGACUUUCUGGACUGUAACUGACGCUGAUGCACGAAAGCGUGGGGAGCAAA